ACAAUAGGGGCCAAUAAUGUUCUUGAUCUGUUCAUGUUGUGAUAGGUUCGGGUAAUUAGCGGUCGUGACUCUCAAGGACUGAUGCUCGAGAUGGAUGCAGUUACGCCUUGAUGAUUCUCCGGGAGUUAUAGAGGGGAGGGAGGGAGGGGGAAGAGACUGGAACGGAGACUGGGAACAGGCAGGGCAUGGAUGGAUCCACAACAGAGACAAACAGCGGGAUAGAGAUCGAGUCACGGAUCGAGAGAUCAAUCCGAAUUAGAGGACGAGUAUGAGGAAGAAGAAGCUGUUGUGGUGUCCUCCCAUGCACUGCCUCUUCCCUGGUCUUGUGCUCUUCUUCAUUCUCCUUCCUUCCCCAUUCCAAACAUUUCCCUGCUCUGUUCCUUUCUCCAUGUUUCAUAUUUUGCUGGGGGUUGUUUUUGUUUUUUUUUAAGGAUUUAUGAGUUGAGCAGACACAGGGAUGCUGAAGUGUAAUCCAAAAAGGGAAGGCAAGGAGAAGGUAUUCGUACAAUUUAUUCCAAUAUAAUUUUUAAUCUGAUAUAUGCUGCCGAUAUAAUGCCUCGUGCCGAACCAUCAUCGGCUAUAUCAGGGCUAGCAUAUGUACUGUCUCCUUUUCAGGGUAAGUCUGAUGUUUCUUUCUCGUCACAAUCUUACAGUUGAAUGAAAAUGGCUUCGCCCCCAAUGAGAAAAUUGCAUUUAUCAGCUGUACUGCAUAAAGUUUUGGACUCUUAAGUCCUUUUGGUUGUUAUGUUAUAGGAUGCAUCGAUCCUGAAAGAUGACGAUAUUAUGAGCUGUAAUACCAUUGUCCCAUCGACCUCAAUGCAGUCAGUGGACUGAACUAUUUUGUGAUCAAGCAAUGUUGGAUGCGAAGGAAUGGUAGCAGGAGGGGAUGGGAGUGUCCUGGAAAAAUGUACCUUCAGAAGAUUCAAUCGCAAGUGUUUUUUCACUCCCUUGUAUGCCAAACGAAACAUAAGGGCGUCAUAUGCAAUUAGAGAAUUUGAGUGAGUUAUCGGAAGAACAUCUCAUUUUAAUGUUAAACCUCCCCAUGAAAUUUCCGAUAAAAGCCUUUUCUAUGCUUUCCUGUAAUAGCAAGUGAAUGGCUUUGUCCCUUUGAAGCACCGUGAAGAGAUCAUCGUUUCAUAGCUGCUUUUUGCAAGAAUGAAAAGAGUCCAUAUUGUUCUUCUGCAAGUUCAACUUAAUGCUGACAAGAGAUUAUUAUUAGCUAA